CCUACGGGAGGCAGCAGUAGGGAAUAUUGCACAAUGGGGGAAACCCUGAUGCAGCAACGCCGCGUGGAGGAUGAAGGUUUUCGGAUUGUAAACUCCUGUUGUUAGAGAAGAUAAUGACGGUAUCUAACGAAUAAGCACCGGCUAACUCCGUGCCAGCAGCCGCGGUAAUACGGAGGGUGCAAGCGUUACUCGGAAUCACUGGGCGUAAAGAGCGCGUAGGCGGGAUAGCAAGUCAGAUGUGAAAGCCUAUGGCUUAACCAUAGAACUGCAUUUGAAACUGGUAUUCUAGAGUAUGGGAGAGGUAGGUGGAAUUCUUGGUGUAGGGGUGAAAUGCGUAGAUAUCAAGAGGAAUACUCAUUGCGAAGGCGACCUGCUAGAACAUAACUGACGCUGAUGCGCGAAAGCGUGGGGAGCAAACAGGAUUAGAUACCCGUGUAGUC
rnacentral:rRNA from 1 species